AGAGUUUGAUCCUGGCUCAGGACGAACGCUGGCGGCGUGCUUAACACAUGCAAGUCGAACGGAAAGGCCCGCAUCAUUUUUUUGGUGGGGGUGCUCGAGUGGCGAACGGGUGAGUAACACGUGGGUGAUCUGCCCUGUACUUCGGGAUAAGCUUGGGAAACUGGGUCUAAUACCGGAUAGGACCAUGGUUUAGUGUCUCAUGGUGGAAAGAUUAUUGUUUUGGUGCAGGAUGAGCUCGCGGCCUAUCAGCUUGUUGGUGGGGUAAUGGCCUACCAAGGCGUCGACGGGUAGCCGGCCUGAGAGGGUGGACGGCCACAUUGGGACUGAGAUACGGCCCAGACUCCUACGGGAGGCAGCAGUGGGGAAUAUUGCACAAUGGGCGCAAGCCUGAUGCAGCGACGCCGCGUGGGGGAUGACGGCCUUCGGGUUGUAAACUCCUUUCGUUAGGGACGAAGCCGCACCUUUUUUUGGGUGUGGUGACGGUACCUUUGUUAAGAAGCACCGGCUAACUACGUGCCAGCAGCCGCGGUAAUACGUAGGGUGCGAGCGUUGUCCGGAAUUACUGGGCGUAAAGAGCUCGUAGGUGGUUUGUUGCGUCGUCUGUGAAAUUCCGGGGCUUAACUUCGGGGUGGCAGGCGAUACGGGCAUAACUAGAGUGCUGUAGGGGAGACUGGAAUUCCUGGUGUAGCGGUGGAAUGCGCAGAUAUCAGGAGGAACACCGAUGGCGAAGGCAGGUCUCUGGGCAGUAACUGACGCUGAGGAGCGAAAGCAUGGGGAGCGAACAGGAUUAGAUACCCUGGUAGUCCAUGCUGUAAACGGUGGGCGUUAGGUGUGGGGACCGGUUUGGUUUCUGUGCCGUAGCUAACGCAUUAAGCGCCCCGCCUGGGGAGUACGGCCGCAAGGCUAAAACUCAAAGGAAUUGACGGGGGC
rnacentral:rRNA from 1 species